UCCCUCCCCGAGCUCGUCCCCGGCCGAGAGCAGCGUGCUGGAGGCGAGGGGCUGCGGGGGGAGGGCUGAGCCCCCGGGGGCCGCGUGGGGCCAUGGGGCGAGGGAGGGGAUGGAGAGGGACGGGGGUUCUGGGGGACAACCCAGCCAGAGCGGGGGGUCCCCCAAACCGCAGCCACCCCCCAGGGGUGGCUCCUCCAGCAGGGACCUGCGGGUGCUGCUCAGGGGCCCGGCGCCGUCCUCGGGGAGCCCCGGGGAGACGCUGCCUUCGGUGCCGUCCUCGCUCAGGAAGGACAGGGAGCGCCUGGGCCCCCCCGCGUCUGGGGCAGAGACGGGACUCAGCGCCCAGCCCGAAUUGAGGGGGGGGCUGAAUCAGCCCCCCAAAACCCCACCCCGGCCGAGGGAGCACCCUGGGGAACCUCACCCUGCGCAGGGGGCCAUCCCCAGGCACGUGGCCACUUGCCCCACUCCAACGCCAGCUCCAUGGCUCGUUGCCUAUCCUGCAGGGAGGGGACACUGCUGUCACCACUGCCAGGGCCACCAUGGGGUGACACAGGGCCACUACAGGGUGACACAGGGCCACCAUGGGGUGACACAAUCUUGCAGGCACCCAUUUCUUCCCCACAACCCCUACGAUGAGGGUCCCAGUGCAGGCAGCACCCCCGAGGUGCUGUCCCUGUCCCCAGAGGGGUCCCCACUGACCCGGCAGCACCCCCAGGAUGCGGUGACAUGCGGCGGCUCCACGACGGACCUGAAGGGGGGAGCAGGGCUUCACCCUGAGCCCGCUGCGCACCCCCGGCUCGGCCAGAGGUCAAGGUCAAGGCCGGCAGGUCAGGGUCACGGCUGUCCCCUUGGGGACACACACACACACGCGUGGCCCCAGCUGUUACCUGGUGUUGGGGUCCCCUCUGCGGUGCAGCAGCACCCCCAGGCAGCGCCCGCCACCCCCCCGCUCUCUGCCGGGGGUCAGAGGGAUGGGGGUGCCCCCCCCCCCCACGAGCAGGGGCCAGACCACCCUGCGGCACAGACGGGCAGGGUCAGCGCGGGGGGGGCAGCCCCCAGCCCCCCCGGGGUCACUC
rnacentral:lncRNA from 1 species